rnacentral:rRNA from 1 species
CAGCCGCCGCGUAAUACGUAGGUGGCAAGCGUUGUCCGGAAUUAUUGGGCGUAAAGGGCUCGCAGGCGGUUCCUUAAGUCUGAUGUGAAAGCCCCCGGCUCAACCGGGGAGGGUCAUUGGAAACUGGGAAACUUGAGUGCAGAAGGGGAGAGUGGAAUUCCAUGUGUAGCGGUGAAAUGCGUAGAUAUAUGGAGGAACACCGGUGGCGAAAGCGGCUCUCUGGUCCGUCACUGACGCUGAGGCUCGAUAGCGUGGGGAGCAAACAGGAUUAGAUACCCGUGUAGUCCCUGUCUCUUAUACC